UAGAUACCCUGUUAUACUAUAGUUAAAAAAUUUGGUUACAGCUAGAGUAGUAAGAAUCUAUUAGUUUUAAAUUCAAAGAGUUUGGCGGCACUUUAGUCCGGUUAGAGGAACCUGUUUUGUAAACGAUAGUCCUCGUAAAAUCUUUCUUGCUUUUGUUAAGUUAGUAUACCUUCAUUAUUAGAUAAUUUUCUGAUAUAAAUUAUUGUAAUUGAUUAAAAUCAAGGAUAUUAGAUCGCGGUGCUGCUGAUAAGCAAGUAUUAAUGGGUUACAAUAAGAUUGAGUUAAACGGAUCUAUCAGCGAAAAAGAUAGUAAAGGUGGAUUUAAUUGUAAUGUAGGUUUAAUAAGCUUGCUUGAGAUAGGCUCUAGAGUGUGUACAUAUCGCCCGUCGC
rnacentral:rRNA from 1 species